rnacentral:rRNA from 1 species
UUUAAAGAGAGUUUGAUCCUGGCUCAGGACGAACGCUGGCGGCGUGCCUAAUACAUGCAAGUCGAACGAACGGAGGAAGAGCUUGCUCUUCCAAAGUUAGUGGCGGACGGGUGAGUAACACGUGGGCAACCUGCCUGUAAGUUGGGGAUAACUCCGGGAAACCGGGGCUAAUACCGAAUAAUAAGUGGUGGCGCAUGCCACGGCUUUGAAAGAUGGUUUCGGCUAUCGCUUACAGAUGGGCCCGCGGUGCAUUAGCUAGUUGGUAGGGUAAUGGCCUACCAAGGCAACGAUGCAUAGCCGACCUGAGAGGGUGAUC